CAUUAGGCAAGAAAAAGAAAUCAAGGGGAUACAAAUUAGGAAGGAAGAAAUCAAAUUAUCUCUACUUACAGAUGACAGUAUUCCAUAUAUAGGGAAUCCAAAAGACUCUACUAAGAGACUAUUGGAACUCAUAAAACACCCUUGUGGGAAACAGUCCCAGAAGCAGCUCCUGGCUUCAGAUUGGCCCAGCUCUGGCUGUCACUGCCAUUUGGGGAAUGAACUAGCAGAUGGAAGACCUUUCUCUCUGUCUCUACCUCUCUCUGUCUGUAAAUCUACCUCUCAAAUAAACAAAAUCUUUAAAAAAAAAAAAAAGGAAUAAAGAA